UCAAGCAGAAGGGAAAAAAACUGAUGAACUGUAUGCAGCCACUCCAAACUACUCAUCAUGCCAGCAAAACUUUCAAAUUAAAUUCAUUGAAGUGUAUCUUGUACUUUAAAUUCACUUCUAGAGCACAGACUCUGCUGGCAAGGCUAGUGCCUGUCACCCAUCCUCGCGUGCUCUCGAUGGGGUGAUGAAGAGAUACCUUCCGGAACCACUGCUAUCCAGGAUUUUGACCCAGCCUGGCAAAGGAAUGGCUAGACGGUUCCAAGCCAGGACUGCAAAAGACUUGCAGCUGAUGACAUUGCUUUGCGCCUACCUCCUUUGUCUUUCUGGUUGGUAGACACAGCGGGCCUGUGUGGUGAUGUUGAAGAGCUUUGGUGCAGUGUGUAUGGCGGAUGGGACAAACUGCAGCCAUGGAGGUCUGGAAAAUCGUACGUCAGAUGGAAGCUGGCUACUUUCAGAGUGUCACAUGACCUCCAAGCUGAACUGCACAAUUUCAGAAGUUCGACUGGUUGAAAAUCGAGCCUGCACUGAUAACAUCAGAAAUGUGCCAAAUGACAUAAUUGUCUGUGUUGUCCCAGGAAGUUGGCUGAUGUUGUUUUGCGGUAUGGACAACCAAGGUUUAGCAGGACUGCUUCUGAGCGGGGAACCUCACUCCUUACUGUCCUCCUUUCCUAUGGGAACAAAGCCCGCACUACUUGACAACUCCACCUACCUACCAGUGUUACCAACUCCUCAACUCCACCACCACUUCCUGAUUCUUUUCUUGAUUUCUACCUGCUUUCCCCCCCCCCGCCCCCCAACUCUACCAUUGCCUAUUCACUGGUUGCUUCCCAGCAGGGCUCUGGUCUGACUCCAAAUGAGCUUCUAACUUGAAGCUUCAGGCACAGCCACAAACCUUCUCUCUCGAGGAAUGUUUUACUGAUUUUGGGCAAUAUGGAACUCUUACCUUUCUCCAGUCCCUCUACCAUCUCCCUGUGUUCAUCUUCUUCACAAGGGUCACCCCCUGCUAUGUUGAUCCCAAUCCAGUAAAUGCAUGCUUGACCUUCCUUUCUUGGUAUUGUGUUAGAGAAUAUGAUUAACAAAUCCCUCCCACCAUCCUGUCAUCUUCCCUUCAAAUCCUUUUCUCAACAUAAGCACCCCUAGUUCCCUCGUAGCACUGCUGCACAUCUCCAACCUCCCCAGGGUUCAGGAACAUGUUGUUACCUCUCUCAUCUUAUAAUGAUACAGACUGAGAUCUCCUCGAGAUCCUAGGAAACAAUCCCAUUAGUGAUGCACCAUCAAUAUCUCUCGGAGACGGGAGGCAAAUGAUAGGCAUUUAUUAGCUGCAAGAGACCACGAUUAGCAGCAAGAGACCACCACACAACAUCUUGGAGACUGAGGGAGGAGCAGUGCCUCCAACCGCCUUUAUACAGAGGUCUGUGGGAGGAGCCACAGGAGCAGUCAGCAGGGGGGGGGGGGGGGUCCAGACAGCUAUAUGUAGUUCACCACAAUUAGUUCAGUCUCCUUUUCCUUAUUUACCUGUAUCCCUGCAAAUUAUUCUCACUCUUGCAUACCUAUCAGCCCCACUUGAUUAUGUUGUCAGUAACUUCUACUAAGGGGCAACCUACAGUAGCCAGCUAACUCUCCAGUAUUUCCAAAGGAGGAAACCAGACCACCCAGGUGAAAUGCAUGUAGUGACAAGGAGAGUGCCUAAAUUCUGCAUAGACAGCACACGAAAUCAGCAGCACUUACUGCCACACCGCUGUGCCAUAUCCUUCCUGAUGUUCCAUAUUUGAAAAACUCUAGUUUAGCUUCCUUCCCUGCUAUCUAUUGAGUCUCCCAAGAACCUAACCUUGAUCAUCACCUCCUUCUUCUGAAUGUGGCCUCUGUGGUGAUAUCAUCUUAAAGCAGACUAAAUUCCACUUGUACAUUAUAAUGCUACAAGUAAGGGUGAAAUCUUACUGUCAUAUCUCUGAUACUACUACAAAAACCAUGCUUCCAGAAUUAGUUCACUCAGUGUAGGCAUCUAUAUUAAGCCCUUCACUGCUGGGUCCGGGCAGAAAAUACAAAGAAAAAGCAAAACCAAAGCAAACUAUUUUAGAAUCAUCCUGGAAUUGGAAGGUGGUCCUUGUGUUCUUUUCUCUAUAAAUAGACCCAGGAAUUUGUACAUGAUGUGCUGAUUUUUUUCAGAGCUAUGGAUUUAGAAGCUGGUUAUUUAUCCUGUGGACUGGAAUAGGGAUAACUUCCUACACUCAACUUUGGAGCAAUCUGGCUAGUAAAGGCACCUACAUGAGACCAUUGUUUAUUGACUACAACUCUGCCUUCAAUGCUAUAAUUCCAAGCAAACUCAUUACCAAACUCUGGAUUCUGGGAAUCAGCGCCUCCCUCUGCAACCGGAUCCUUGAUUUUCUGAUAAACAGAUCACAAUCAGUAAGGAUGGACGGCAAUAACUCUACCAUGAAUAUUCAAAACACUGGCACUCCCCAGAGCUACGUAUGCCCUCAGUCAUCUACUCUACUCUCUAUAAACACAGAACUACAUGGCCACGUUCUGCCCUAACUCCAUCUACAAGUUUGUAGAUGAUACCACUGUAUUAUGCCGUGUCUCAAAUAGUGAUGAGUCAUGCACGUACAGGAAGAAAAUGGAGACCUCAGUAACAUGGUGUCAUGACAACAACCUUUCCCUCAAUGUCAACAAAACAAAAGAGCUGGUCAUUGACUUCAGAAAGAGGAGCAGCAUACAUGCUUCUGUCGUCAUCAAGGGUGUUGACAUUGAGAGGGUUGAAAGCUUUAAGUUCCUAGGAGUGAUGUUCUGAUCCAGCCAUAUAGAUGUCCUGGUCAAGAAAGCUCUCCAACUCCUCUACUUCCUCAGGAGGAUAAAGAAAUUUGGUAUGUCCUCGUACCAAUUUUAUUGAUGCAUCAUAGAAAGCACCUUCUCUAGAUGCAGAAUUUCUAGGCAUGCCAGCUGAUCUGCCAGUGACUGCAAGAGACCGCAGAGUUGGGCACAACACGGAAAGCAGCCUCCCUCAAUGGGCUCAGUAGAGGGGAGGACCUCACCCAACACACAAUGCUUUUCCUGUUUUGUGGAUGUCCGUGAACAGUAGGAAUAUCAGGCUGUAUACUGUGUACAUUCAAUGGAACCAUUGAACCAUUGAUGAAGGAACAGAAAACAAGUGUGUUACACCCUGGAGAAGGGAAACAUUGUCUCAUUUGACAGUAUACAUGUAUGUAGUUAAAUCUUCUCCGUGGAUUGUCACCUUGUCAUGGUGGAGAAGCUUGUGUGGUCCUGAGAUCCCGAGAGCGAGGACGUCUGGAGCGAUGCUCCUGGUAGGGUCACCCAUGGCGGUAAGGUCGAGGGUGAGGUCCCUGACAAAGAACAAUCCAACCAAGACUUCAACGGUGGAACAGGCAGACGAAGUUACUACGAACUCAAUGGCUGUGCAACAAAUCUAUCAGCUCCAAUCAUUGUGGUUUCCAUGCCAUUGGAAUCAGUUGGUUGAUUUGUGAAGUAUCGUGUGCUUCUUGGAGUGCAACAUCAAGUCCACGUUAAACAAAUACACACACAGACAUCUUUGCUCUGUGGGCCACAUCUCCAAGAUUGGACUCGUAAGCCACUUGAGAGCCCAUAGAUAGAUCAAUGGAACGAAGACCAUCAUCCUCGACCUCGAGGGAUAGCCGUGAUGACGAUGUAGUUAAAUGACAAUAAACUUGGCUCCUCGCACAUGCUGGUUCUAUGCUAUACUCAUCUACCUUAUAACAAGCUCUAGGUCCUGUGUUGUAUCAAUACAUGGACACCUGUAUUGUGACACACACUGUGUCUGUCUUACUCCCUUUAUGGUGAACACCCAGCCAACACCUUACAGUCGGUUCAAUGGUCUAACCUAUACUGAGCUCACCCACCCCGUUAGCCUCAGAGUCUCUCUGGUUUGAGGGAGGAUGGAUUUGGGCUUUGUGCUUCACCUUGCACAAUGAUUUGGGUGUCCUUCCUACAAGCUCUGUGUUACACCUUGUGCUGUGCACGUUUGACAUUCCGUUACCCUUCACCUAAGGAAUCCCCACCAACCCCUCCUGAAUGCCUCAUUUGACUACAAGAAUCCAAGACUGACAUUCCAGAACAGAUUAACCUUGGGCAAAUAUUACAGUUUGAGAUGGGAUUCAUUUCCAAGACUAGGUAACCCAUCCUUUUUUUGUUUUCCAUUAUCUUAGAUAUGGGACCAGAUAAUGUAACAAGAGGGCAUGUCACUAUUCUUUCCUGCAAUCUAUUCUGUUUUGAGCUACUCAAAUACUGCAGGCUUGGUACCUUGAGAGUAAUUCAGAGCUCUGUGCAAAAUCUGUUCUGAAUCCUCAAAUUUGUCUGCAUGCUCACAACCUGUAUUUGGAAAGUCAAGUCGGCUUCACAAGAACCACAAGGAAUACACCUCCCCCUCCCACCAUUCCCUCUCUUUUCAGCUCUCUGUCAAGUAAAAUCAUCUUCAGCAUUGCUUUAAUCCCAUUUAAGACAAAAAGAGCCCACAACACCAUUAAAAUUAUCAAAUAGGUUGGGCAAAGGGUUCUUUGUUGGCAAAAGGAAGGAUCAACAGCACUUGAGAAGUUUUAGAUUGUCCUUGUAUAAGUGGUGUUCCUUGUAUACGUGUCAAAGAGCAGGGCCAGCAAUCAGUGCCGGCCCAUCAGACCAAUUUGUAAUUAGUUUUCCUCGGUUACCACGGAAACCCAAAUCACUCACCAUACCACUGUUAUCGUUGUUGAGUAAUAUUUUACUUUUCAGUCAAUUAUUACAUCUUCCCAGUUUAACGCCUUUGGAUUAGUUAGUGAUUUAUCUGUAGAACUGUUUGACAGACUUAUUAAAGUUGGUUGGCUGCUCCUUUACAAAGAUUGUUCUUGAAAAUUCACUGCUGGGUGCCAUUCCUUCUCAGUGCAAUGCAGCGAGAAGCCACUAGGCGGAGUUUUAGCAGUUGGCUGAUAACACCUUCAAUAUUGUAAUACUCAGGUGGUGAGAAGAAGAAUUUGGGGGAGCCAAAUGAUGUUAAGAGGAGAAAAAGUCAGCAGGAAUGUCACUCAGGGUUUCUCCAGGCCACUCCAGUCACAGCUUACUAAUGUAGGCUAGGAAGAUGAGGAGGUAUUAAAUAUUGACAACAGAUCCCUCAACCCCUACCCACUUCAAACCAGAGUUACCAUCAAUUUGAUCUAGCUGAUUCGUAUAUUACAUCCCCUCGCCCGGAUUUGCCCCAUAAUUGCUUGACACCCUUAUCUAACAAAAAUCUAUUGAUUUCACAAUUGAAAGAUUCAAUUACCUCACUUCUCCAGAUAUUUUUGAGGGUUUAAAAUCUAGUAUCUCCACUAUCUUUUGAAUUAAGAAGUGCUUCUGAGUGGUUUAUUUCAAACUUUCUGAUAAUAACCCCUCAUUCUUAAUUCACCUAUGAGAGCAUACCAUUCCCCCGAUCCAACGUAAGAAAUCGCCUUAGAUUUGGUAUCACCCGGAGAAGACCAGCCCUCACUAUCAGAGCACAGCAACAGUGUGACGUUAGACAACUGCAUGCUGGUUUGCAGCAGGCAUCUCAGUAACCAGCCACGGCUGCAAUGAUCUGUUAAGUUAACAAGUGGUGCAACCUGCCCUGACAAUCUAAGGCCUUAAACCUGGCAUCGGGCUGAUAAACCUGUGCUGCACUCCCUCAAAGGCCAAUAUUUCUUUCCCAAGUUCUGGUGCUGGAACUUAAAUGCAAUCCUCUGCACAGGGCUGGAACAAGAGUCUAAACAAAUGAAACUGAACUUCCUCCUCCUUGUAUCACAGCCCCCUAGAGGUAAAGGCCAACAUUCCAUUCGCCUUUCUGAUUACUGUUUGCGCAGUCUGCUCUGUCCCACAGUACCAGUGAGAACAUGAAAAUCCAAGUGGGGCUUAUCACAUGCUUAUAUGCUAACU